rnacentral:lncRNA from 10 species
GCGGGCCGGGAGUACUGCUGCCCCCAAAGGCCUGGCCGUCCAGACCUGAUCCAAGAAGCCUCGGGGGGUACUGCACCCCCCACCCCACUGCAUCUAGACCAGAGGGAAGAUGCAGGGUGAAGAGGGGAGAGGAGCCUAAAUGAAUGGGAAAUCGAGACACCGAGAACAAGACCAGACGUCGAGAGAGGCCACCAAGAUGCAGAAACCUCAUGAAGGGGCAUCUGUAUUGACUCAGAGAGCGGGAAAGAUAAAGAUGGCAGGUGGGAAGGAGCAGAGAAGGCGGCAGAGAGAGCCUCCGACAUGAGAGGGGGACCUGGAGAAGGCCCAGGGACAGAUCCAAGAGGCACAUCACGGCCUUCUCGCACUUAGGAACGCUAGACAGCUCUUCAGCACCAUGCUUGGGGGACCUUUUAAACGCUGAUAUCACCACUAAAAGGCCCAAAGAUGCAAAGCACGUGGCACUAAACAGACCGAGAAAAGACACUCGUUCACAGUAUAAGAGCCGAAAUGAGAAGGCACCCUCGUUCAGCCUCGUCUGGGAACCCACACAUAGGGCUACUCAAGAUUUUCUCUGCUUUGCGCCUGUCCAAGAAUAACCACAAAAGCCCUUCGCGUAUUGAUUCUGGGCUUCUAAUAAAUUUCAGCGAGUAGGCAAAUUCGCAGACACAGAAUCUGGGAAUCAUGAGGGCCAACUGUGUCAACAGCGCAGAUGUUAGAAACUAUGACGGACAGGAAGAGGUCUUGGACUUUGGUUCUGUCUUGAUGAGAGACACACUUGAUGAAAGGUCUCAGGCAAGUGAAUGCAAAUCUCUAAGACUGUUUCAUCUUCUGUAAAAUGGGAAUGUGCAUGCUCUGUCUUUCUUUCUGUUUCUGUACCGCCCUUUCCUUCUUAAAGCUGGUUGUGAAGAAGUUUGUUGAGGAAUUAUGAGAAGUUUGCUGCAGGGCAGUUGAGGAUAGAAGAAGAUCACAGGAGGAGGAAACAGGGUCAAAAAAGGUAAGAGCCCAGGGGAGGUAGAUUUGGACUCCAUAUAAGGAAGAAGGUUUUUUUUUUUUUGAGACAGAGUUUCGCUUUUGUCGCCCAGGCUGGAGUGCAAUGGUGCGAUCUCGGCUUACUGCAACCCCCGCCUCGCGGGUUCAAGCGAUUCUCUCGCCUCAGCCUCCUGAGUAGCUGGGAUUACAGGCACAUGCCACCACAUCCGGCCAAUUUUUGUAUUUUUAGUAGAGAUGGGGUUUCUCCACGUUGGUCAGGCUGGUCUCGAACUCCUGACCUCAGGUGAUCAGCCCACUUCAGCCUCCCAAAGUGCUAGGAUUACAGGCGUGAGCCACCAAGCCCAGCCUCCUACUCUUGAUUUUUAUAAAAGUACGAGCCCCUCCAGAGCAUGAGGGAUUGUGGAUAGACUUCAGGGGCCUGUGCACUUGUACAGGAAAAAAAAUCCUAUGUCUUCAUUUUCAUCAUCCUCCAACAAAAACUCAACCUUUCCUCAAUUAAAUAUGUAAGCAGCAAACCAUGCUAGUUUCAGCAAGACCCAUGCCUGUAUCCCCAGUAGGAAUCACAGAUAUCUCCAUAUCCCAUCACAGUGGUGCAGAUUUCCCAAAAUAGUGUUUAUGCGCCUCGUGAUUUUGAAAUUAGAGUUGUUAAAAUCCACCGCCAAUGUCUAACAUGUUGACAAAAAAAGAUGAUAUUAUGAUAUCACAAAUUUUGCUUUUGAAAAAUAUUUUGAGAAACUACAUUUUAGUGUAACUGGCCUCUUUUGUUAUUUCAUGUUAUGCAUUUAUAAGCAUUAUUCUGAGAAGGACCACGGCAGCCUGCCAAAGAGAUCCAUGACCCCCUAAAAGCCAAAGGACCCAGUUUUAGAGUAAAUGGACCCCUGACCACUACGUGGUGGAUGCGGCCAGAGGAUGGGGACUGGGCAGAGAAGAAGGAAGCGGGAAGGGAGGAGCAAGGCAGAGCGUGGCCUCUGGAGGAGACAGUUGGAGGGUAAGGGGUGGCACUGGCAAGCCUAGUGGGGGAUGUGUUGGAGGGAAGGCACACAGCCCAGUGGAGUAGGGGCAACAUCCAGGAAGGGAGCAGCAGGCCCCUACCAGGAUAGCCAGGGCUGUGGCAGGACCAUGGGUUCAGAGGGCUGCCUGCCUGGGUUAAAAUCCCCCCUCCUUCCUUGAGCCUCAGUUUCCCCCUCUGU